UCUCAGAUGGCUCAGUGGUAAAGAAUCUGCCUGCAAUGCAGGAGACUUCAGUUUGAUUCUUGGGUUGAGAA
rnacentral:tRNA from 1 species